rnacentral:lncRNA from 1 species
GGGCUCUUCCUUGAUAAAAGACUAAGAUUAUUAUGCACAAAUACCAAGUCUUCAGCUCUUUGGGGUGUUAACUUGUUUCUUCUUAAAGAGUGAAUGAAACUAUAUGUACUCCAAUUUCUUUCACAACACGAGGAGGAACAAGGUUGUCCAAGUAGCUUCAAAGUUGUGGAUUGGAGAGUUGGUGUUGAAGCUCCAUGAACAAUCUACCACACCAUUGGUUCCAUGUGAAACCUAUCAUUCAUAGCAUCAAUAGCUACAAAGUCAUCUAAGCACAUUGAAAAAGAG